UGGCCUUCCCUUAGGCCCGCGAGCCCCUCCCUCCCGCUCGGCGUUACCCACGUCGGUCCGAAGCUGUCGCCGACCUGCGCCGGGCUGAAGUCCUGCAGGACUGCCUCCUGGCUGAGGCGCACGGAUGCGGCCGGACGGCUACCCAGACGAGGGGCCACACCUGCCGCGGAGGUUACAGUCGGUAAAAUAGAGCGGCGACACGAACUUCUCCACCCGCUCCAGCGUGGUGCGCCAGUGCUUCAGAGCAGGCGCCCCCGCCAUCACCGCGCCCCAGCUCCUCUCCCCGGAAGGCCGCUGGCAUUGCCGGCGCGGUCCACCGACUGAAACCAAAGGUUCCGGCAUCUGAAGGGCGCCUUCCAGCCCCGGGCAGCUUUCCUUGCGACACCAGCGGCUCUCGGAAGCCCAGCUGCCGUCCGAACUUUGAGCCAGGAGUUGCAAACUAGAAGCUGCGCUUUGGAGGCUCUCCUGUCUCGCCCAAGCUAGUUGGCUAUAGGGUAAAUCCCUAAAUAAAAUGAGAAAUUUGACGAUUAAAUCUCCCGAAGGUCCUGGGACAGAGACACGGGACCAUUCCGCAGAACAGGCAGGAACCUUGGCUGCUGCAGACCCAGCCUCAGAAGCAGCAAUCAGAGACCACUCACUGGCUCUGGCUACGUCCGUGAACACGAAAACUGGUGUCUGCUUAACGUGGAAGGAGGCCGCCCAGGAUGUGUGUUUUCAUACUGACUGGAGGAUACGGUGUUAAAGAGCAGAGAGGAUGAGCUCCAGUGACCCUAGCUUCCUCUGUUACACGUUUUAAUUCAUGUGUAUGUUGCUAACUCUUGCCCAUCACCAGAAACUCUGCAAAGAUUUUGAGACAGCAGAUCAUGGUCACAGCACUGAAGAGUCCCAUAGAAUCUUCCCUGUCAUUUCACCAGACAAGUCUGUAGAGUCCAGGGAAGCCCUAAUGCCAGAAACAGACCUCCAAUUUCAUUCUCAUCCCAAGUAUUCCACUGGCAACUUUACUUUUUUCCUCGUGGGGUUGCCAGAGUCCUUGUCUAUAAAAUCAUUAGAAAGAAAAAAAUAUAUACACAACAUUAGCCCUGAUAUUUUAAUGGAAAUACUGACCAAGUGUACAACAUUUCAAAUGCCAAUCACAUGGAAAGGUGACUAAGUACAGAAUACCAAAUGUGAUUUAAAAUAAAGAACUUUCUGCUGUAUAUAAUGCAGGUUGGGUUUAGAGCAUGGAGCUUACAUGUCAGACAGCAGAAGAAUAAAAAUGCUGCUUGUGAAAACCC